rnacentral:rRNA from 1 species
GUAGGUGGCAAGCGUUGUCCGGGAAUUAUUGGGCGUAAAGCGCGCGCAGGCAGUUCUUUAAGUCUGAUGUGAAAGCCCACGGGCUCAACCGUGGAGGGUCAUUGGAAACUGGAGAACUUGAGUACAGAAGAGGAAAGCGGAAUUCCACGUGUAGCGGUGAAAUGCGUAGAGAUGUGGAGGAACACCAGUGGCGAAGGCGGCUUUCUGGUCUGUAACUGACGCUGAGGCGCGAAAGCGUGGGGAGCAAACAGGAUUAGAUACCCUGGUAGUCCACGCCGUAAACGAUGAGUGCUAAGUGUUAGGGGGUUUCCGCCCCUUAGUGCUGCAGCUAACGCAUUAAGCACUCCGCCUGGGGAGUACGGCCGCAAGGCUG